CAGCAGCCACGGGAAUACGAAGGGUGCAAGCGUUACUCGGAAUUACUGGGCGUAAAGCGUGCGUAGGUGGUGGUUUAAGUCCGUUGUGAAAGCCCUGGGCUCAACCUGGGAAUUGCAGUGGAUACUGGGUCACUAGAGUGUGGUAGAGGAUAGUGGAAUUUCCGGUGUAGCAGUGAAAUGCGUAGAGAUCGGAAGGAACAUCUGUGGCGAAGGCGACUAUCUGGGCCAACACUGACACUGAGGUACGAAAGCAUGGGGAGCAAACAGGAUUAGAUACCCGUGUAGUCCCUGUCUCUUAUAA
rnacentral:rRNA from 1 species